rnacentral:rRNA from 1 species
UGGGGAAUAUUGCGCAAUGGGGGCAACCCUGACGCAGCCAUGCCGCGUGAAUGAAGAAGGCCUUCGGGUUGUAAAGUCCUUUCGGUGACGAGGAAGGCGUGAUGUUUAAUAGGCAUCACGAUUGACGUUAAUCACAGAAGAAGCACCGGCUAACUCCGUGCCAGCAGCCGCGGUAAUACGGAGGGUGCGAGCGUUAAUCGGAAUAACUGGGCGUAAAGGGCACGCAGGCGGCUAUUUAAGUGAGGUGUGAAAUCCCCGGGCUUAACCUGGGAAUUGCAUUUCAGACUGGGUAGCUAGAGUACUUUAGGGAGGGGUAGAAUUCCACGUGUAGCGGUGAAAUGCGUAGAGAUGUGGAGGAAUACCGAAGGCGAAGGCAGCCCCUUGGGAAUGUACUGACGCUCAUGUGCGAAAGCGUGGGGAGCAAACAGGAUUAGAUACCCUGGUAGUCCACGCUGUAAACGCUGUCGAUUUGGGGAUUGGGCCUUGAGCUUGGUGCCCGAAGCUAACGUGAUAAAUCGACCGCCUGGGGAGUACGGCCGCAAGGUUA